AAUCAACGCUGGCGGCGCGCUUAACACAUGCAAGUCGAACGAGAAAGUGGAGCAAUCCAUGAGUAAAGUGGCGUACGGGUGAGUAACACGUGGAUAAUCUGCCCUAGAGUGGGGAAUAACGAUGGGAAACCGUCGCUAAUACCGCAUAAUCCCGAGAGGGGAAAGCAGCAAUGCGCUCAAGGAGGAGUCCGCGGCCGAUUAGCUUGUUGGUAGGGUAAUGGCCUACCAAGGCUGCGAUCGGUAGCCGGCCUGAGAGGGCACACGGCCACACUGGCACUGAAGCACGGUCCAGACUCCUACGGGAGGCAGCAGUGGGGAAUUUUGCGCAAUGGGGGGAAACCCUGACGCAGCAACGCCGCGUGGAGGGAUGAAGUCCCUUGGGACGUAAACUCCUUUCGACCGGGAAGAUUAUGACGGUACCGGUGGAAGAAG
rnacentral:rRNA from 1 species